AACAAACGCUGGCGGCAAGCUUAACACAUGCAAGUCGAACGGGAGUAUAUUAUAGUUUACUAUAAUACGCUCUAGUGGCAGACGGGUGAGUAAUAUAUAGGAAUCUACCUAGUAGUAUGAAAUAAUUGUUAGAAAUGACAGCUAAUAUCAUAUACGCCUUACGAGGGAAAGAUUUAUCGCUAUUAGAUGAGCCUAUAUUGGAUUAGCUAGUUGGUAAGGUAAUGGCUUACCAAGGCAGUGAUCUAUAGCUGGUCUGAGAGGAUGAUCAGCCACACUGGAAUUGAGAUACGGUCCAGAC
rnacentral:rRNA from 1 species